rnacentral:rRNA from 1 species
UACAGAGGGUGCAAGCGUUAAUCGGAAUUACUGGGCGUAAAGCGUGCGUAGACGGUUGCAUAAGUCAGAUGUGAAAGCCCCGGGCUCAACCUGGGAAUUGCAUUUGAGACUGUGUAGCUAGGGUGCGGAAGAGGGAAGCGGAAUUUCCGGUGUAGCGGUGAAAUGCAUAGAUAUCGGGAGGAACACCAGUGGCGAAGGCGACUUCCUGGCCUGUUCUUGACGCUGAGGCGCGAAAGCUAGGGGAGCAAACGGG